GACGAACGCUGGCGGCGUGCUUAACACAUGCAAGUCGAACGGAAAGGCCCUGCUCUUGUGGGUUGCUCGAGUGGCGAACGGGUGAGUAACACGUGAGUAACCUGCCCUUGACUUUGGGGUAACUUCAGGAAACUGGGGCUAAUACCGGAUAGGAUCUCCUGCUGCGUGGUGGGGGUUGGAAAGUUUCGGCGGUUGGGGAUGGACUCGCGGCUUAUCAGCUUGUUGGUGGGGUAGUUGCUUACCAAGGCUUUGACGGGUAGCCGGCCUGAGAGGGUGACCGGCCACAUUGGUACUGAGAUACGGCCCAGACGGCUACGGGAGGCAGCAGGGGGGAAUAUUGCGCAAUGGGCGGAAGCCUGAUGCAGCAACGCCGCGUGCGGGAUGCCGGCCUUCGGGUUGUAAACCGCUUUCGCCUGUGACGAAGCGUGAGUGACGGUAAUGGGUAAAGAAGCACCGGCUAACUACGUG
rnacentral:rRNA from 1 species